rnacentral:rRNA from 1 species
CUACCCUUCGGAACACAAUACCCUCGGGAAACUGAGGCUAAUAGUGUAUACCACAGUCCACCUGGAAUGAGGACUGUGCCAAACGCUCCGGCGCCGAAGGAUGUGGCUGCGGCCGAUUAGGUAGACGGUGGGGUAACGGCCCACCGUGCCAAUAAUCGGUACGGGUCAUGAGAGUGAGAACCCGGAGACGGAAUCUGAGACAAGAUUCCGGGCCCUACGGGGCGCAGCAGGCGCGAAACCUUUACACUGCACGACAGUGCGAUAAGGGAAUCCCAAGUGCGUAGGCAUAGAGCCUACGCUUUUGUCCACCCUAGGGCGGUGGACGAAUAAGGGCUGGGCAAGACCGGUGCCAGCCGCCGCGGUAAUACCGGCAGCCCAAGUGAUGGCCGAUUUUAUUGGGCCUAAAGCGUCCGUAGCUGGCCGCACAAGUCCAUCGGAAAAUCCACCCGCUCAACGGGUGGGCGUCCGGUGGAAACUGUGUGGCUUGGGACCGGAAGGCGCGACGGGUACGUCCGGGGUAGGAGUGAAAUCCCGUAAUCCUGGACGGACCGCCGAUGGCGAAAGCACGUCGCGAGAACGGAUCCGACAGUGAGGGACGAAAGCUAGGGUCUCGAACCGGAUUAGAUACCC